GACGAACGCUGGCGGCAUGCCUAAUACAUGCAAGUCGAGCGAACAGAUGAAGUGCUUGCACUUCUGACGUUAGCGGCGAACGGGUGAGUAACACGUAAGGAAUCUACCUAUAAGCGGGGGAUAACAUUCGGAAACGGGUGCUAAUACCGCAUAAUAUCUUCUUCCGCAUGGAAGGAGAUUGAAAGACGGCUCUGCUGUCACUUAUAGAUGACCUUGCGGUGCAUUAGUUAGUUGGUGGGGUAACGGCCUACCAAGACGAUGAUGCAUAGCCGACCUGAGAGGGUGAUCGGCCACAUUGGGACUGAGACACGGCCCAAACUCCUACGGGAGGCAGCAGUAGGAAAUCUUCCGCAAUGGGCGAAAGCCUGACGGAGCAAUGCCGCGUGAGUGAAGAAGGCCUUCGGGUCGUAAAACUCUGUUAUAAGAGAAGAACAAAUUGUAGAGUAACUGCUACAGUCUUGACGGUAUCUUAUCAGAAAGCCACGGCUAACUACGUGCCAGCCGCCGCUGUAA
rnacentral:rRNA from 1 species